rnacentral:lncRNA from 1 species
CCCUAUUCGUGCUUUGCGAGGCUUGUCUUGGCUUUGCAAUGUUGGCAUCGGCAACAACACAUGGCUGCGCGUCGUGUGUUGGGGCUGGUGUUGGCUUUGUAUCGGCGAGGCAAGUGUACGUGCGGCACAUGAGUGGUGUUCGGCUUGUGUGGCUAGGUUGGAUCCCUGCUCAACAACACAUGGCUGCGCGUCACGUUUGGGGCUGGUGUUAGCUUUGUAUCGACGAGGCAAGUGUACGUGCGGCACAUGAGUUGUGUUCGGCUUGUGUGGCUAGGUUGGAUCCCUGCUCGAGUAGCGACGUCCUAGCUCGCAUGCCAUCUCAGUCAUGUCAUAAGCGCAAAUUAGGCUUGUUCGACGCCGAUUUUCUUUGUUGCAUACCUAAUGCCAAGGCAUUAUCAAGCACAACCGGUCGUUGUUCGCCCCUCGCGUUCGACGUUCGGGGUGAACCAAAAGCUGCAGUUGUGUCCCAAGUCGUCCUAGCUUCGCCUUGCGAUGGCUUGGUCCACGACUUAGCAUGCUCGGGAUCUCCAAUUCGGUAAACGCAAUGGGCACGGGGCCUUCAUUGGCUUCCUAUCAAGCACAAUCGGUCGCCUUUCGCCCCUCACGUUCGAUGUGCGGGGUGAACCAUGAGCUGCAGUUGUGUCCCAGGUUGUCCUGGCUUCGCCUUGCGAUAGCUUGGUCCACGACUUAGCAUUCUUGGGCUCCCGGAUUAGGUAAAUGCAAUGGGCACGUGGCCUUCAUUGGCUCCUAUCUGCCCAAAGAAUGCUCCUUACAAAUGACGGUCGUGCUCGCCUUGGACUUGUCCGUGCCCUUUUAUGUCAACAACGCUUAUGCGACGCUGACGUCAAUGAGGAAUGCUACCUGGUUGAUCCUGCCAGUAGUCAUAUGCUUGUCUUUAAGAUUAAGCCAUGCAUGUGUAAGCAUGAACAAAUUCAGACAGUGAAACUGCGAAUGGCUCAAUAAAUCAGUUAUAGUUUAUUUGAUGAUAUCUACUACUUGGAUAACCGUACUAAUUCUAGAGUUGAUACGUGCAACAAACCCCAACUUUUGGAAGGGAUGCAUUUAUUAGAUAAAAGCUCGACGCUGGCUCUGCCCGUUGCUGCGAUGAUUCAUGAUAACUCAACGGAUCACACGGCCAUCGUGCCGGCGACGCAUCGUUCAAAUUUCUGCCCUAUCAACUUUCGAUGGUAGGAUAGUGGCCUACGAUGGUGGUGAUGGGUGACGGAGAAUUAGGGUUCGAUUCCGGAGAGGGAGCUUGAGAAAUGGCUACCACAUCCAAGGAAGGCAGCAAGCGUGCAAAUUACCCAAUCCUGACAUGGGGAGGUAGUGACAAUAAAUAACAAUACCGGGCUCUAUGAGUCUGGUAAUUGGAUUGAGUACAAUCUAAAUCUCUUAACGAGGCUCCAUUGGAGGGCAAGUCUGGUGCCAGCAGCAGUGGUAAUUCCAGCUCCAAUUGCGUAUAUUUAAGUUGUUGAAGUUAAAAAGCUCGUAGUUGGACUUUGGGAUGGGCCGGCCGGUCCGCCUUUGGUGUGCACCGGUCGUCUCGUCCCUUCUGCUUAAAAAGCUCGUAGUUGGACUUUGGGAUGGGCCGGCCGGUCCUCCUUAGGCGUGCACUGGUCGUCUCGUCCCUUCUGCCGGCGAUGCGCUCCUGACCUUAAUUGGCCGGGUCGUGCCCUCGGCGCUGAUACUUUGAAGAAAUUAGAGUACUCAAAGCAAGCCUACGCUCUGUAUACAUUAGCAUGGGAUAACAUUAUAAAAUUUCAGUCCUAUUACAUUGGCCUUCGGGAUCGGAGUAAUGAUUAACAAGGACAGUAGCGCCACAAGGUGCUGUGCGCACAGGGAGAAGCUGAGUAGAUGUUCAUUGCCAUCGGUUGUUGCGGGAAACAUCGGGAGGCGACAUCGCUCGUGGAAGCUCAAGGCUUUUUGCAACAAAAUUGCAAAGCAUCAUGCAAGUAGAGCCGCAAUGUGCCGUGCGCACGAGGCGAAGCUUAGUAUGUUGCUGAUUGCCAUCGGUUGUUGCGGUUAACAUCGGGAGGCGACAUCGCUUGUGGCAGCUGAUGGCUUUUGUCAACAAAAUGGCAAAGCAUCGUGCAAGUAGCGCCGCAAGGUGCCGUGCGCAUGAGGUGAAGCUUAGUAAGUUGCCGAUUGCCAUCGGUUGAUGUGGGUUGUGUCUGGCAUUGUUCAAACCCCCUAUUCGUGCUUUGCGGGGCUUGUCUAGCUUAAUAAGUUGUCGAUUGCCAUCGAUUGUUGCAGGCAACAUCGGGAGGCGACAUCGCUAGUGGCGGCUGAUGGCUUUUGGCAACAAAAUGGCAAAGCAUCGUGUAAGUAGUGACGCAAGGUGCCGUGCUCACGGGGCAAAGCUUAGUAAGUGUAUGAUUGCCAUCAGUUGUUGCGGGAAAUAUCAGAAGGAAAUAUCGCUCGUGGCGGCUGAUGGCUUUUCGCAGUGGAACGGCAAAGCAUCGUGCAAGUAGCACCGCAAGGUGCCAUGCGCAUGGGGCGAAGCUCAUUAAGUUGCCUAUUGCCAUCGGUUGUUGUGGGUUGUGUCUGCAUUGUUCAAAACUCCUAUUCGUGCUUUGCGAGACUUGUCUUGGAUUUGUAAUGUUGGCAUCGGCAACAACACAUGGCUGCGCGUCACUUGUUGGGGCUGGUGUUGGCUUUGUAUCAGCGAGGCAAGUGUACGUGCGGCACAUGAGUGGUGUUCGGCUUGUGUGGCUAGGUUGGAUCCCUGCUCGAGCAGCGACGUCCUAGUCGCGUGUUGGGGCUGGUGUUGGCUUUGUAUCAGCGAGGCAAGUGUACGUGCGGCACAUGAGUGGUGUUCGGCUUGUGUGGCUAGGUUGGAUCCCUGCUCGAGUAGCGACGUUGUAGGUCGCAUGCCAUCUCAGU